GUUGUAUGGUUAAGUGACUAAGCGUACACGGUGGAUGCCUUGGCAGUCAGAGGCGAUGAAGGACGUAGUAACUUGCGAUAAGCGUAGAUGAGGCAGUAACAGCCACUUGAGUCUACGAUUUCCGAAUGGGGAAACCCACUGGCAUAAGCCAGUAUCAUUGAGUGAAUACAUAGCUCAAUGAAGCGAACCGGGAGAACUGAAACAUCUAAGUACCCCGAGGAAAAGAAAUCAACCGAGAUUCCGAAAGUAGCGGCGAGCGAAAUUGGAUUAGCCCUUAAGCUUUACAUGUGUUAGACGAACGGUCUGGAAAGUCCGACGAUACAGGGUGAUAGUCCCGUAGUUGACGAUGCAUGUUCAGUGAAAUCGAGUAGGGCGGGACACGUGUUAUCCUGUCUGAAUAUGGGGGGACCAUCCUCCAAGGCUAAAUACUCCUGACUGACCGAUAGUGAACCAGUACCGUGAGGGAAAGGCGAAAAGAACCCCUGUGAGGGGAGUGAAAUAGAACCUGAAACCGUGUACGUACAAGCAGUAGGAGCACCUUCGUGGUGUGACUGCGUACCUUUUGUAUAAUGGGUCAGCGACUUAUAUUCAGUGGCAAGGUUAACCAUCUAGGGGAGCCGUAGGGAAACCGAGUCUUAACUGGGCGCCAUAGUCUCUGGAUAUAGACCCGAAACCGAGUGAUCUAGCCAUGGGCAGGUUGAAGGUUGAGUAACAUCAACUGGAGGACCGAACCGACUAAUGUUGAAAAAUUAGCGGAUGACUUGUGGCUAGGGGUGAAAGGCCAAUCAAACUCGGAGAUAGCUGGUUCUCCCCGAAAGCUAUUUAGGUAGCGCCUCGGACGAAUACUACUGGGGGUAGAGCACUGUUAAGGCUAGGGGGUCAUCCCGACUUACCAACCCUUUGCAAACUCCGAAUACCAGUAAGUACUAUCCGGGAGACACACGGCGGGUGCUAACGUCCGUCGUGGAGAGGGAAACAACCCAGACCGCCAGCUAAGGUCCCAAAUUACAGCUAAGUGGGAAACGAUGUGGGAAGGCUUAGACAGCUAGGAUGUUGGCUUAGAAGCAGCCAUCAUUUAAAGAAAGCGUAAUAGCUCACUAGUCGAGUCGGCCUGCGCGGAAGAUGUAACGGGGCUAAGUUGUAAACCGAAGCUGCGGCAAUGUUCUAUGAACAUUGGGUAGGGGAGCGUUCUGUAAGCCGUUGAAGGUGUGUUGUAAAGCAUGCUGGAGGUAUCAGAAGUGCGAAUGCUGACAUGAGUAACGACAAGGGGGGUGAAAAACCUCCCCGCCGGAAGACCAAGGGUUCCUGUCCAACGUUAAUCGGGGCAGGGUAAGUCGACCCCUAAGGCGAGGCUGAAAAGCGUAGUCGAUGGGAAACGGGUUAAUAUUCCCGUACUUCUUACAAUUGCGAUGGGGGGACGGAGAAGGCUAGGUGGGCCUGGCGACGGUUGUCCAGGUUCAAGUGCGUAGGCUGAGUGUUUAGGUAAAUCCGGA
rnacentral:rRNA from 1 species